CUGGGAGGACCAUCUCCUAAGGCUAAAUACUCUCUAGUGACCGAUAGUGAACCAGUACCGUGAGGGAAAGGUGAAAAGCACCCCGGAAGGGGAGUGAAAUAGAACCUGAAACCGUGUGCUUACAAGUAGUCAGAGCCCGUUAAUGGGUGAUGGCGUGCCUUUUGUAGAAUGAACCGGCGAGUUACGAUUUGAUGCAAGGUUAAGCAGUAAAUGUGGAGCCGUAGCGAAAGCGAGUCUGAAUAGGGCGUUUAGUAUUUGGUCGUAGACCCGAAACCAGGUGAUCUACCCUUGGUCAGGUUGAAGUUCAGGUAACACUGAAUGGAGGACCGAACCGACUUACGUUGAAAAGUGAGCGGAUGAACUGAGGGUAGCGGAGAAAUUCCAAUCGAACCUGGAGAUAGCUGGUUCUCUCCGAAAUAGCUUUAGGGCUAGCCUCAAGUGAUGAUUAUUGGAGGUAGAGCACUGUUUGGACGAGGGGCCCCUCUCGGGUUACCGAAUUCAGACAAACUCCGAAUGCCAAUUAAUUUAACUUGGGAGUCAGAACAUGGGUGAUAAGGUCCGUGUUCGAAAGGGAAACAGCCCAGACCACCAGCUAAGGUCCCAAAAUAUAUGUUAAG
rnacentral:rRNA from 1 species